UGACGGCCCCCUUGACAAAGACUGACGCUCAGGUGCGAAAGCGUGGGGAGCAAACAGGAUUAGAUACCUGGUAGUCACGCUGUAAACGAUGUCGAUUUAGAGGUUGUGGUCUUGAACCGUGGCUUCUGGAGCUAACGCGUUAAAUCGACCGCCUGGGGAGUACGGCCGCAAGGUUAAAACUCAAAUGAAUUGACGGGGGCCCGCACAAGCGGUGGAGCAUGUGGUUUAAUUCGAUGCAACGCGAAGAACCUUGGGUGGGGGGUGACAUCCAGCGAAUCCUUUAGAGAUAGAGGAGUGCCUUCGGGAACGCUGAGACAGGUGCUGCAUGGCUGUCGUCAGCUCGUGUUGUGAAAUGUUGGGUUAAGUCCCGCAACGAGCGCAACCCUUAUCCUUUGUUGCCAGCACGUGAUGGUGGGAACUCAAAGGAGACUGCCGGUGAUAAACCGGAGGAAGGUGGGGAUGACGUCAAGUCAUCAUGGCCCUUACGAGUAGGGCUACACACGUGCUACAAUGGCAGAUACAAAGAGAAGCGACCUCGCGAGAGCAAGCGGAACGCAUAAAGUCUGUCGUAGUCCGGAUUGGAGUCUGCAACUCGACUCCAUGAAGUCGGAAUCGCUAGUAAUCGUAGAUCAGAAUGCUACGGUGAAUACGUUCCCGGGCCUUGUACACACCGCCCGUCACACCAUGGGAGUGGGUUGCAAAAGAAGUAGGUAGCUUAACCUUCGGGAGGGCGCU
rnacentral:rRNA from 1 species